GAUGAACGCUGGCGGCGUGCCUAAUACAUGCAAGUCGAGCGAGAAGCUUGGAAAUGACGCUUCGGUUGAUUUUCCAAGCGGACAGCGGCGGACGGGUGAGUAACGCGUAGGCAACCUGCCCCUGACAGAGGGAUAGCCAUUGGAAACGAUGAUUAAAACCUCAUGACACCGUAGUAGCACAUGCUACAUCGGUCAAAGAUUUAUCGGUCAGGGAUGGGCCUGCGUCUGAUUAACUGGUUGGUGAGGUAACGGCUCACCAAGGUGACGAUCAGUAGCCGACCUGAGAGGGUGAUCGGCCACAUUGGAACUGAGACACGGUCCAAACUUCUACGGAAGGCAGCAGUAGGGAAUCUUGCACAAUGGGCGAAAGCCUGAUGCAGCAACGCCGCGUGAAGGAUGAAGGCCUUCGGGUUGUAAACUUCUGUUCUAAGGGAAGAAAGAAA
rnacentral:rRNA from 1 species